rnacentral:misc_RNA from 1 species
GCUUAGCUCUCUCUACUUGCAUAUUUAUAUUAAUCUGUCAUCUUCUCGAUUCAAUCCAAAAGUGAGCUUUUGAGUGAGGGUGAGGAGACAGUCAUGGACCCUUCGAUAAUGAAGCUCCUCGAAGAGGACGAGGUCUGUAUUUCAAUUUUUCGGUUUUCUCCUUUCCUCCAUAUCCAGAUUUUAGCAAAACUGUUUCCUUCUAUGAUUUUCGUGUUUACAGGACGAAACCAUGCAUUCCGGUGCUGACGUCGAGGCGUUUCAGGCUGCCCUCAAUCGGGAUAUUGGAGGCGAUGCGUCCUCUUCUCAGCCGUCUGACUCCGGUACGUACUGUUGUCGAUUUUGAUUGAAACCUAAAUUGAUUUGUUUCGUACAGAAAUAAUAAUUUAUAAUUGGGGGUUUUGCAUUUUUGUUUUGCUGUUACUGCUUUUGUUUUUGUUUUGGGAUUGAAUAAUGUGUUUGGAACAAAUUACAUGGGAUUCAUCGGCAAUUUUAUGUAAGGGGUGGAGCAGACUGUGCAAGCGAUUAUCAGGAUUGUUAGGAUGGCCUAGUUUUCAUGUUGCCUUGAGAUUUUUUGUUUGGAUUCACUAUUUGAAGGUGCUUAUGGUUGUUUUGAAUUCGAGGCAUUAGUUGCAUUGAUUUUCCUAUUUAGGUGUGUGUUAUUUGAAUCUAGGAGUAAUUUGGAGAACGAAGCUAAUUCAUUUUGCUGCAAUUCAGAGUUCUUUAUUUUCUGAUUAUACUUGUAAAAUGUUUUUCCCAUUUUAUUAUUCCUAAUAACAAGCAUACAAUUUCAUAACUAGAUAAAAAUAAGAUCUAGGAGUGGAGAGAGAUAUUUUGUGAAAGAUAAGUUGAAUGUAUUUGGGCUUCUCUUAUGUUCGUUACCUCUGCUUUAUAUUUUGCCUACAUGGAAACUUUUUGGUUAUUUGUGAUGUGUGCAACUCAAAACUACAGCAGUUUUGUCCCAUGAAAUCAAUCAAACUCCUAGUCAGUCAUUUUCAAAUUGGCAAACUACUACACAAGAUGAAAAUGCCAAUGGUGCAAGCCAGCAACAACAGCAGCAAGAGCAGCACUCAUCUGCAAUUGAGCUAAAGCAGCAUGCUUCUGCUGCUGAAAAUCAGCAACUACAUAAUGAUGCCACACAGGAAUCCAGUCACCUCCUAUUACAUGAGAAACAACCCCAAGAUGAUGUUCAAAAAGGACAGGCAAAACAAAUUCCUCUUCAGACUCCUCGAACAACUGGGAUGCAAAUUUCUGAAAGAAAUCCUAUGCCACUGUCUGAACGUGAAAAAAUGCAAAAUCCGGACACUGAAUCUCAAUACAUGAAAGUGAACAUGGGUAAUCAACAGAAUCAACAGACUCUGGGCAUGGAGCAACCUGGCAACCUUAAGAAUCAAGCCAAGCAGAUACCAUUUGUGUUAUUGUUGCCUGCCUUAAAGCCCCAUCUUGAUAAAGACAGAGAGAUGCAACUUCAGACUCUGUUUAAUAAAUUGAGGAAAAAUGAUAUCGCGAAAGAACAAUUUGUCAGGCUUAUGAGAAAUAUUGUAGGGGACCAAGUGCUAAGGUUGGCGGUAGCUCAAUUGCAGUCACAGCCAGGUUCCAACCAAUCCCAGUUACAGUCUCAAGCUUUUGCACGCCAACACAAUGUGAGAAUGCCUGUCAGUGCUAGUGCCUCUUCGGCAGUCCAAGCUCUGGCUGAUUCUAGCUACCCAUCUGCAGAAAAUAAUGCUCAGAAAUCUCGAGAGGUGGAACGUCAGCCAGAUUCUCAUGGAAUGCAAGUAAGCAAAAUGCCUUCCUCCACUGCUAGCAUAGUCAAUCAAGAUAGAGAGCGCUCUUCAAUUUCUGUUCCAGGACAUAGCAAGCAGCAGCAACAUUUGCAUUUUCCACCGACUUCCUUUCCAAUGUAUGGAAGUAAUAGUGCUACUUAUCACCCUUAUUCUGGAACAAAUGUCAAUACUUCAGGAUCUUCCAUGAAGCCACAAUCUCAUGAUUUGCAAAUGAGGCAAAUUUCACAUCAAACCAUGGGCACAACACAAAUAGGAGGUUCAACCCAGGCAAUGAACAUGAUGAAUGUGCCGAAAUUUGAGAGGCAAAAUUCUGUUGCUGAUCCUAACAGAGUGCAGAGUGGUUCUAUUUCCCAAUAUACAAACAAAUCAGCAUUGCAACAAAGUUCAGUUCCAUGGCAAGCACCAAUGAAUAAAGAGCAAAGUUCUGCCCCUUUCUUAUCAACAAAUUAUGUAAAACAAGAACCAGUUGAACAGGCUGUUGAGCAGCAGCAGAAAUCUCAGUUGUCUAACCCUCAGGGUUUGUCUGCCACAACUGUUGAGCAGGGGAAUGCAGUGCCAGGAAAUUCAAAGGAUGUCUCUUUAGAAAAGCAGUCUGCAAAAGUUGGUUUCUCUGCACCCAUUGGUUUGGCACCCUCAAAUUCAGUUUCUCCUUCCAUUUCAACUCCAUUGGAGCCAAAUGUCCAGGUAGGCUCUCGAAUCCCAUCUGUAGCUGCUUCUGCUGGAGUUAAUGCAAGAACACCUCCAAAGAAACCUUCAAUUGGCCAAAAGAAGCCACUUGAAGCACUUGGUUCUUCUCCACCUAUGGCAAGUAAGAAGCAAAAAGUAUCUGGGGCCUUUUCGGAUCAAAGCAUCGAACAACUCAAUGAUGUCACUGCUGUUAGUGGAGUUAAUCUAAGGGUAUGUUACUUGUGUGUGCCAUCAAGUUUGUUCAUGUUGAUGCGUGUACUAGUGAUUAUUAUACACUGUUGCUUGUUAAAAAUAGGAAGAGGAAGAACAGCUAUUCUCUGGGUCCAAGGAGGAAAGUCGAGUUUCAGAAGCAUCUCGGAAGGUUGUACAAGAAGAAGAAGAAAGGUUGAUUUUGCAGAAAAUUCCACUGCAGAAAAAAUUGGCAGAGAUCAGUUAAUAUUCUUUCUGUUCAUUGUUCUCAUAUCAGUUUUGAACUUAUUCAUUUAUGCGCGUUCUACUUUAUGAAAUAAGCAAAUAUUAGUGAUAUGGCUUAUGAUAUUGGGUUUGUGCUCCAGUGGCUAAAUGUGGUUUGAAGAAUAUAAACAAUGAUGUGGAACGGUGCUUGUCUUUGGUGAGAUGCUAACUUUUUUUUUUCAUAUGAUAACUGUGAGACUUUUGUUGACCUCAACUAGUUUGGAAUUAAGACAUAGUGUCGUUGUUAUUGUUGUUGAUAACUGUGAGAUUUCACUUGUGAAACUGAAUAUUUAGUGUGUGGAGGAAAGAAUGCGUGGACUAAUAAGUAAACUGAUCAGGCUAUCCAAGCAGGUCAUUUUUUAUUUUCUUGUUGCAUUUAAAUUUAUCUUGCUAGUGCUAGCUUGUCGUCUUUCCUCAUACUGCCCUGGUUCUAAUCGUAUCUUUACAGCGGGUUGAUGCUGAGAAGUCUAGACACCGGACUGUAAUCACCUCAGAUGUUCGACAGCAAAUCAUGGCAAUGAACCGAAAAGCUAGGGAAGAAUGGGAGAAAAAGCAGGCAGAAGCUGAAAAGCUUCGAAGAGUUAAUGAAGUGGGUACUUUAUAUGCAUAGUAUGUCAUGUUAGUUGAGCUUUUGAUCAAGUUUGCAGAAACAAAGAAAAUUAUACAAAUAGACAUGAAUCAUCUUUAUGUUAUGUAUAUACAUUUAAGCAUAAAUUCCUUAAGUUUCUAAUUACCUGUGAAUGCAGCCUGAGGGUGAUAAUGGAGUUGAAGUUGAUAAGGAGAAAGAUGAAGGUCGUAUGAAAUCAGUGAAGGUAAACAAAGAGGAGGAUGACAAAAUGAGGACAACAGCUGCAAAUGUUGCUGCUCGAGCCGCUGUUGGUGGAGAUGACAUGCUGUCAAAAUGGCAACUCAUGGCUGAGCAAGCACGCCAGAAACGUGAAGGUGGGACGGAAGCAACAUCCAGUUCCCAGUCAUCUAAAGAAAAGUCUCUGUCAACAACUGGAAGAAAUAUAAAGGAUAAUCAAGAACCAGAAAAAAGGAGCUCGGCAUUUGCAUCAAGGGCUGUUAGGAAAAUUGGAAGGAACCAAAGUGUGCCUCAGGUCAGGGUUGCUCACUCUAUCUCUGUUAAGGAUGUAAUUGCAGCGCUGGAAAGAGAACCCCAGAUGUCCAAGUCAACUUUGAUUUAUCAAUUGUACGAGAGAAUCCGGUCUGACUCUCCAGCUGAAUAAUCAAGUCUACUCUGAUUUAUCAAUUGCACAAAUCCGACUCUCCAACUGAAUAAUGCAAGAUUGAACCUCAAAAUAGAUUUUUUAUUCCCUAUAGUAUUUUAACUAGUGAUAAUAUUGUAGUAAUAGUGAAGAGUUCUGAUGUCCUAGGGGGUCUGCCAAUUGUUGCACUUAUUGUUAUAUGAUCAAUUUCUUCGACCCGUUGUCCCCUUUGCUGAUGAAUAUCUUUCAGCUAACCUAGCCUCCUCAGUCCCUUGGGACCAACAAAGGGUUGUACUGGAAUAUUCACGUGUUGUCCAUCAAUUGCGCCCUCUUAGGCUCUGCAUUUUUAUGUAUUAGAAAUUGGUUAGUGUUCUACAAUAGACUGUAAUAUAAAGGAAACAAGCCCUUUCUUUCUCGAGUAUGAAAAUGUAGAGCCAAUUGCGGAAUCGAUGUCUUGAGGAUUGCGAAAGGAAAAGGUUGUUUGUAAAGUUAAAAAUGAAAUUCAAGUGAGGAUUUACAAUUUCAUCUCAUUACAAUUAAGUUGUUUU